AAAGAAAAAGCUCAUAGAGCAUCUUUUUUACAAAAAGAAGGGUUGAUCUUUA
rnacentral:tRNA from 1 species